AAAAUCCGUCGACUUUAAAAAUCGUGAGGGUUCAAGUCCUUCCUAUCCCCA
rnacentral:tRNA from 1 species